CGGACCUUUGUACACACCGCCCGUCGCUACUACCGAUUGAAUGGCUCAGUGAGGCGUCCGGACUGGCCCAGAGAGGUGGGCAACUACCACUCAGGGCCGGAAAGCUCUCCAAACUCGGUCAUUUAGAGGAAGUAAAAGUCGUAACAAGG
rnacentral:rRNA from 1 species